UACGUAGGGUGCGAGCGUUAAUCGGAAUUACUGGGCGUAAAGCGUGCGCAGGCGGUUUUGUAAGCCAGAUGUGAAAUCCCCGGGCUUAACCUGGGAAUGGCAUUUGGGACUGCAAGGCUUGAGUGCGGCAGAGGAGACUGGAAUUCCCGGUGUAGCAGUGAAAUGCGUAGAUAUCGUCAAGAACACCGAUAGUGAAGACAGCUUACUAGGCUUAUACUGACGCUGAGGCACGAAAGUGUGGGGAUCAAACAGG
rnacentral:rRNA from 1 species